CAUUAGUCCACGGGCUCUGGACCAUUCAGGACCCACGUCCUUUCCCUGUCAGGGAUUAGUGGGGCAUUUGGUUGGUGUAGGCUGCCAGAGGUGUGUAAUCCUUCCUCCUCUUGGUCGAUGCCGUGAUGCAAUGCCUCGGGUGUCUCUCAGCCUAGAAAGGUGAGUUUCAGUGCAGGGUCUCCACUGGGGGGUUCAAUUUUUCUCAGCGGGUCGUUAUCUGCUCGGACCUCCUUAUGCUGUAGGAAUACAGCUCUGGAUCUUGCCUGAAUCUACUCCAAAAAGGUCUGAAAUAUUUCAUCUAGGCGACUUAAGAUGUGUGCUGUAGAGCUGUGAGGAGGCUCACGAAGGGGGUUUAGGCCCUGUCUGGGCACCAUCUUAGGUGCAGAUCCCUGCGGUGUGUUGCAAGGGGGUAUCACCAGGUUGCAAGGGGUUGCAAGGGAUGCCCACCACGAUCAGCCAGUGAGGACAGGGAUAUCGAGGUAACAGGGCUCAGGCUUAGUACGCUCCAAAUCGAGCCAGUGGAUCGGCCCCCUCCCGGCCCGCAUUUGUAGCUGUAGGCCUCAGAGGAGUCUCACACGGAC